AUGAUAAACUACCACUGUAGUUAGAAGAGAAGGGAAAGUGGUGCAAAUCCACUGCAGCCCCCGCUACUGUAAACGGUGACGCGCUCACAGAUGCCAUUGUCCGGCGACGGAUGAGAAGGUGUGAGACUGCGGCAGACCCGUCAGCCAGGAAACCUGCUUCUAACAUGUCCCUUGG
rnacentral:ncRNA from 2 species